GUGCUCACUUUGGCAGCACAUAUACUAAAAUUGGAAUGAUACAGAGAAGAUUAGCAUGACCCCUACAUAAGGAUGACACACAAAUUCAUGAAGCAUUACAUAUUUUU
rnacentral:snRNA from 1 species